rnacentral:rRNA from 1 species
UGGGGAAUAUUGGACAAUGGGCGAAAGCCUGAUCCAGCCAUGCCGCGUGAGUGACGAAGGCCUUAGGGUUGUAAAACUCUUUCGUCGGGGACGAUAAUGACGGUACCCGAAGAAGAAGCUCCGGCUAACUUCGUGCCAGCAGCCGCGGUAAUACGAAGGGAGCUAGCGUUGUUCGGAAUCACUGGGCGUAAAGCGCACGUAGGUGGGCAGUUAAGUCAGGGGUGAAAGCCCGAGGCUCAACCUCGGAAUUGCCUCUGAUACUGGCUGUCUAGAGUUCGAGAGAGGUGAGUGGAAUUCCUAGUGUAGAGGUGAAAUUCGUAGAUAUUGGGAAGAACACCGGUGGCGAAGGCGGCUCACUGGCUCGUUUCUGACGCUGUAGCGCGAAAGCGUGGGGAUCAAACAGGAUUAGAUACCCAUGUAGUCCCUGAGCGGGCUGGCAAGGCGCAU